rnacentral:pre_miRNA from 1 species
UGGUACUCGGAGAGAUAGUAGACCGUAUAGCGUACGCUUUAUCUGUGACGUAUGUAACACGGUCCACUAACCCUCAGUAUCAAAUCCGUCCUCGAG